AUGGGAUUAGAGAAUGAUACAUGAAUUUCAGAAUUUCUUCUGGGAUUUUUGGAGGAACCAGAAUUACAACUCUUAUUCUUUGGGCUGUUCCUGUCCAUGUACUUGGUUACCAUACUUGGGAACCUGCUCAUCAUCCUGGCCAUCAGCUUUGACUCCCACCUCCACACCCCCAUGUACUUCUUCCUCGCCAACCUGUCCUUUGUAGACAUCUGUUUCACCUCCACCACCAUCCCCAAGAUGCUGGUGAAUAUACAAACAUGGAGAAAAGUCAUAACUUAUGAAAGCUGCAUCAUGCAGAUGUGCUUUUUCCUACUUUCUGCAAGUUUGGACAACUUCCUCCUGACUGUGAUGGCUUAUGACUAUUUUGUGGCCAUCUGUCACCCCCUACACUAUACAGUCACCAUGAACCCCCGGCUCUGUGGACUGCUGGUUCUGGUGUCCUGGAUCAUGAGUGUCCUGCAUUCCUUGUUACAAACGUUAAUGGUGUUGCAGCUAUCCUUCUGUACAGAGGUGGAAAUCCUCCACCUUUUCUCUGAACUCAAUCAGGUGAUCCAACUUGCCUGUUCUGGUACAUUUCUUAAUGACAUGGUGAUGUAUUUUGCAACUGUGCUGAUGGCUGCUGCUCCCCUUGCUGGGGUCUUUUACUCUUACUCUAAGAUAGUUUCCUUCAUAUGUGGGAUCUCAUCAUCUCAGGGCAAGUAUAAAGCAUUUUCCACCUGUGCAUCUCACCUUUCAGGUGUCUCCUUAUUUUACUGUACAGGCUUAGGAGUGUACCUUAACUCUGCUGCUCCUUAGAGCUCACACUCAAGUGCAGUAGCCUCAGUGAUGUACACAAUGGUCACACCCAUGCUGAACCCCUUCAUCUGCAGCCUAAGGAACAAAUACAUAAAGGGGGCUUUAAAUGUAUUUUUCAUAGGGAAGCCAUAA